rnacentral:lncRNA from 1 species
AGCACCGAGCAUGGCCCAUCUUGAAUGGAUGACCUCGAGCUCACGGUUCUUGGCAAAUGUCUCGGGAUCGACUAAGAGCCCAGCUGUGUCCCAACCAUAGUCACCGGGAAACUCUCCGGUGAGAUAAGACGGGGCUUCAUUGGAGAAUGGGCCCAAGUACUUGACACGGUCAGGACUGCACCAUGGGCUGCCGGAUGACACAUUUUUGGACUUGGCUGCGGUUUUGCGCAUGGUGAUUCUGCCCUCACCGAGGAGGUUGGAUGUAGAAGAACCAAGCUGUGAGAAGGGGAGAGAGCCAUUGUUGAAGCAGCCAUAUGAGAAAAUGAAAGUGUUUACGAGUGUGUAGAGGGCCGAGUGAUUGUUAUGUUUUGCAUAGAGAAGCAUGGUGGGUAUUUGUAUAGGUUUGAUGCUAGAAAGUCGUUAUCUUUCUGCUAUCUUCAUCCCUUUUCUCACUGGUGAAAUGAAGUUCAAAGAGUUUCAAUCCUUUGAUCAAUUCCAGUUGGCAUGAUAGGCUCCAGUUAUUUAGUUCCACAAAGAUAGCAAUUGGAAAAUAGUUAUGCUUUGAUUUCUGACCAAGUAGAAUUAGCCCUACGAACAUGGCCGUCUUUUUGCAAUAAUGAUCAUAAUGACUCGAUUUCCAGUUGGUUUGAUAUGCACCACCAGCAUAACGUACGUAUAGAUACCAUAGAACAUCAAAGGAGAAAGAAUAAUGAAUUUUUCGACUAGAAAUGAGGAUGUUAAAACUAGACACAUGAUUACAAAAAUCUGAAAUAACAUUAAGAAUCUCUAUAAUUAAGGAUACAUUCAACUAAACAUAAAUUAGAAACAAAAUAUUACUCUAACGACGACUCAUUUGGCAUAUGUAAACCUUCAGACCAAUGUUCUAAAAAAUGCUAGGCGCUAGUCGGGCGGUAGAGGUGAAAUUUUGAAACCAAAAACCGAAAAAAAACCGAGCCGAAAACCAAACCGAAACUGGAAAAAACCAAACCUAAUUAAGAAAAACCGAACCGAACCAAAUUAGUUUGGUUUGGUUUUUGGUUUCGGCCCUUGAAAAACCGAACCGAACUGAAAAACUGAAUAUCCCUAAAACGACGUCGUUUUUUGUCUUUAUUUUCAUAUUAAAUAUUUGAUUUGAACAAUAUGAUUUUUAGGUUUUAUGUUCUAUAUAAUUAUCUGUUUGUCUUUUCUAAUAUUUUGCUUUUUAUUUUCAUUUUAUGUACAUAUAGAAAUGUUUUAGGUGUCGUGUAUGCAAAGUAUAGAGAGUGAUAUGUUACCUCUAAAAUCGAAGACCUUAUUAUUGCGAGCUUUAGAUGACAAAUUCUAAUAUUUAAUUUAUUUUUCUCUUCUUUAUUCAAAUUUAUGAUUUUUAAAAUUUAAAAUUCGGAAUUUAUUUGGAUGAACUUUAAACUAUGGAGUCUAUAUGUUGUGUUCAAGAUGAACUUACAAGUUUUAAAAUUAUGGUUUCAUGGUGUGCUAGUGUGGUCAAUUCUCAAUACUUUCGAAAUUAUUGAGUAUUAAACUUUCAAAGUAUCUAUUUGGUUUAUAAAUUGUUGGUUUGUUGAAGAAAUCAUUGUCAAAAAUUUUAUUGAUAUAUUAUAUAUGCUUAUAAAAAAAAACUAGUAAUGGAAGAAAAAAAAGACCUAAAAUACGAUAAUUUUUUACCAAGGCAAAAGCAUACAAAUUUUAAGAAAAAUUAUUUUAAAAAAGAAGAAAAACAAAAAAAAAACUGAACCAAACCACGGUUUGGUUUGGUUUCCGGUUCAAGGUCUCAAAAAAUACCAAACCAAACUGAAUUUUUUAUUCGGUUUGGUUUCAGGUUUUAUGUGAAAACCAAACUCACCCCUAUCGGGCGGACAGCCGGUGACUAGCGCUUAAACGGGUCAAUCGGGAGAUUAAUCAGUUUUCUAACUCUCUAGACGGAAACAGUGAAGCACCGCCUAACACGUAGGCGUGGAUUAAUCGGCUAUAAGCGGAGAUUUUUAAACCAUUGCUUGAGACAACAACUAGUCCUUAAAACUUGUAUGACGAAAUUGACUGUGGCUCAAAUUAUAAGGAGCUACAUUUAGAAUAUCUGCUGCUAUGGGGCAAGUAAGCAAAACAUGGGAAGUAUCUUCAUAAGGACAUGGGCAUGAUAUGCAUCAAGUAUCACCUGUAUAACCCUUUGUAGUAAGUGCACGUACCUCUCAUUGGCAGUCGGUUAAAGCAAGCUUUCCAGAAGCAAAUACGCACCUCCUCGGUACUUUUGUUUUCCACAAUCGUUUCUGCUAUAAGCCGUUUUUAUGGUCAUGUCUUUUUUUUUUUUUUUUUUUUUCUGUUUUAGGUAGAACAAAAUUUUCUUGCCUUGCUUUUUUUUUUCAAUAUGAUAUUUGUUUGCUCAAUACCAUUUUGGUCUAGUGACAUAAGUCUCUCCUUGUAAAUGAGAAGUCGUGAGUUCGACUCAUAGUAUUGUAGCAUAUUAUUGUGCGUUUGAUCCAAAAAUAAAAUAUGAUCUUUAUUUGGGAUCAUAGCGUUUUUUUGCUUUUUGCUUCAAUAUGCAUGUGGACAUUUUAUGUACUUAUAGGCUCAAUUAUGGUGUGAGCUGAAAUAUGUAGUAGGAGUGUUACCUGUACGUGGAUUAUUUGAUCUUAUUUACCCUCUUUACACAAGACAAUGCAUUGAUUCAUGAUGUAUCAUUUAUUUGAAUGGAUUGGAAUAUCUUCUUUAAUUCAAAAAUUAAUUAAAGAUCUCUUUCCUUAAGAUUGUGAGCAAACUUUUGCAUUUAUACAUAAUUAAUGGCCACUAUGAGCAAGUAAUAUUUAUUUUCAUUACCUAUUAAAGUUCAUUCAUCGCUAUAUAAGCAUGGAUGUAGCAAGAAAACUCCUAUAGUUUAUUCUAAGCCUGAGCCAGAGAUAAAAUGAUGAGAAAAGCAUUGUGGCAGCUCUACUGUUUUCUGCUUUUCCUUGUCCUAGCGCAUUGCAUUCUCCAUUGUGGCAGCCACCCUGUUUGGGGAAGAAAGUAUUUCGUCCGUAUUGUUAACAAUCUCGAAAACAACGAAGUGCUUAACUUUCAAUGUAAAUCCCUAGAUGAUGUAAUUGGUCCGCGUACUCUUCCUCCAUUUGGUGAAUUUGAAUUUAAAUUUCACUUCGGCCCUGAUACAGUGUUUGAAUGCUCUACGUGGUACUCAAAUCGCAUGGCUAAUUUUACAGCAUGGGAACCAAUUGUUCAACCUUUAUGAGGCGGGGCGCAUUUAAUUUAACUAUAUACUAAAGUAUGGUUUACUGUUCAUAAUCACUGUUCACAUCACAUGAAUAGUGCACUGUUUGGUGGGUGUGAUUCUGUUUAUGCCCUCUGUUUCUAAAAAACCACGAAAUUACCAUUAACCCUAGAUAUAUGAUUGUCUUCUAUAUAAUUAGUUGUUGUUGAGGAUGUUGUGGGUUGGGAAGUAAUUUUUGAACUCUUAUCUUCAUUACCGUGUCUCAAUUUUUUUUUUUUUCAUAGAUCUCACAAAGGGUAUUGUUAUCGAAGUCAAUCUAAAAUAGGGUAGUGGUAUCAUAGACCAAGGUUGAGCAAGUUUAUUUUCUUAAUUAUUGAGGUGAAACAAUUUUGGUUCUAUUUUAGCAACGGAAUAUUAAUUGAAGUACAAAUAUCUUUGAUUUGGCCAAAGAAAUUAUCUGGUUGCAAACCAACUCCUAAUUAACAAAACGUACUAAGUUAAUUUAAAUAUCGUGUGAUGAAGUACUAUGUUAUAUAUACUAAUGCAAUAUAUUUGGUUUUUGUUUUGUUUACUUUUAAUUUACUUGGUUUCUCAUCUUUGGUUUUAGUUUUGUUUACUUUCAAUUGAGUUGGUUCCUCAUUUUUUGUUUGGUUUUUAUGUCAAGUUCUCAUCUUUGACAUUUUGAGAUCAGUCUCUUUAGGAGCUUGAGAUAAAUAUUCUUUUCAGUUAAUUAAUCACUUGCUUUGUGUGUGUGUGUGUGUGUGUGUUUUGUUUUUUUUUUUUCUUUACUNUAGUAUNAUAUANCUUUAUUAGUUAGUUUUUAGUUUUUUUUUUUUUUUUUUUUCCUAUCUUUAGUUUCCUAUAAAUCAAGUUUUCUAAAAAUUGCGUUUUUGGUGAAAAACAGUUAAACAAAUAUGAGCAUUUUGUAUAGUCAAAACUAGAGCUAUAUUUUCGAUCAUACUGCUUCAGAUAAGUUGUUCUAUUUUGUGCACUUACAAGACAUUUACUAUUUUGGAUAGGUUACAACACUAGAUGUUUUGUAUUGAAGUUCUAUGAAGUACAUAUCAAAAACUUUUUCAUCAAUCAACUGAAUCAUUAACCAGUUUUAUAAAUAUACACCGCGCCAAGGCGCGGGUAUCAACUCUAGUUGUAUAUACAGUGUGUGAUCUGCUACUGUGUUCAGGUACAACAUAGCAACUCGACGAUAUGUAGGAGUCAUUAAUUUUUGGACUGUAGUACCAUGAAAAUGUUUGGGACAAAUGUAGUUUCAAACAAGAAAUAUUUAUAAGCUACAAGUAUGUUUUUUUAUUUUUUAUUUUUUUUAUAUAUGAAUAAAGGGCUGGUGCGGCUGUUUUCAAGCCUUCAUUAAUGAAACUGUCGAAUACAAGAGGGGCAUAUAUAAAGCCUAAACCCCUGAUUACAAAGACCCAAAAUAAUAUCGAGAAUCUCUAUAAAAUACAUGUAUUCUGAUAAACACCAACUAGCAAAUAGUACUACCCUAAAGACGAAUAUAUUUGCUUUGUCAUAUCGGUGACAUAAUGGAAAGAUCACUAGAUAUGUAACACGAUUACUUAUCCUAAUGUCUGAUAAAGAAUAGUACACAAGAAGUUAAUUAGCAAAGAAUAUUAGAAUACUUAUAUAUACACCAAGUUCUAAUACCAAACGUGAUCGAUCCAAUUUUUUUAUUUUUUUGAUGAAAGGGAUUGUAGUAAUCAAACUGGGCACAAAUUAUCUACCCAAACUACAGGAUUUGGAGCUGCAUAUGUUGUACUAGCCAAUCUGUGCGCCACUGUAUUGCAAGUUCUACUACCCAUGAGAGAGAGUCAUGGAUGUCACAAAGUAACCCUUCCAGCCCUACAUAGGUACCUUGCGUAUAGGAGAUAACCAAAAUUGCCUCUAGACAAUCUGUUUCUAUGAUAGCACAUACACAAUGUUUUCAAAAGUUUUAGUCCUUCUUUGAUAGCAUAUACCUCCGCCUUCUUUGCAGAGACUACUGGGGCAAUAGGAAUGACCAAAGCUGCCUUGAAUUUUCCUUGAUUAUCCCUGAGUAUCCCUCAAGUGCCUCCACGAAGAAAUGUUGGAAGAAAGCUACCAUCCACCAUGAGUUUGGUUUCCAUUUCUUGUGUUGUAGUUGGGGAGUCUGCCUUACUGGAGGUUGUAUUUGAACUUGUUGGUUUUCAUUGAACUAGGCCAUUGCCCAUGCUUGUACUUCUUGUGCUGUUUGAUGCUUUUCAUUCCAUAGUAUAUUGUUUCUGUUAGGCCAAAGAGACCACAAGCUGAUGAGAAGUUUGGCAAAGAGCUCCUUUGGCAUAUGUAAACCUUGAGACAACAACCAGUCCUUAAAACUUGUACGAGGAAAUUGAAUGUGGCUCAAAUUAUAAGGAGCUGCAUUUAGAAUAUCUGCUGCUAUGGGGUAAGUAAGCAAAACAUGGGAAGUAUCUUCAUAAGGACAUGGGCAUGAUAUGCAUCAAGUAUCACCUGUAUAACCUUUUUUAGUAAGUGCACGUACUUCUCAUUGGCAGUCGGUUAGAGCAAGCUUUCCAGAUGCAAAUACGCACCUCCCCGAGUCCCCGUAAUUUUUGCUUUCCACAAUUGUUUCUACUAUGGGUCCGUUUUUUUUUUUUUUUUUUUUUCUUAGUUUCAGGUAGAACAAAAUUUUCUUGCCUCUUCACAAAAACAUUUCUUGCCUUGUUCGUUUUUUUUUUUUUUUUUUUCAAUAUGAUCUUUGUUUGUGAUCAUAGCGUUUUUUUGCUUUUUGCUUUAAUAUGCCUCUGGAUAUUUUAUGUACUUAUAGGCUCAAUUGCGAUGUGAGCUGAAAUGUGUAGUGGGAGUGUUACCUGUACGUGAAUCAUACACAAGACAGUGCAUCGAUUCAUGAUGUAUCCUUUCUAUUAAGAAAAACAUAAGGGUCUUAUGACUUCUACUUAGUUGCUGAUUCAUAGAAUUAUUACCACUCUUAGGCUCAGUUUAGGAUUGCAUUUUUGGGUUAAAUCCUGCUUUUUCUCACCCAUUUAUGACUGAUAGCCUGUUUGGUAAGCAUUUCAUAUCUGCGUUCUUUUAACGAUUGCGGCCGGAAACCGCAAAAAUGAAAAGCAGCGGAGGACCUGCUUUUUCUUAUCCAGCGUUUUGUGAACGUGAAUCAAAUAGCCUGUACAUUCAUGAAAUUCCAGAAACAUCCCCACUGAAAUUCAAAAGUCAAACCCCUCGGAAUUAAUUCUCGUUCUCUUCUUCUGGGUUUCUUUCGUUUUUUGCCUUCUUUUGCAGCUCCUCAUCCCCUUGCCUUCGUACCUCUCUCUUCACAGCUAUUCACUUCUUCUUUGAUGGAUUACUGUAUCAUAUUAUUUUAUAUAUAGAUCUGUAAUUGAUCGUAAGGUGAUCGAGGUUUCCAUCGAAUCGCAUACACUUCGUAAUUUGAUGAGAAGAACAAAAGAUCCAUAUGAGUCAAAAGAUCUGUAUCUAUUUUUGAAAUUCUUUGUUUUUGAUAUCAUGUUUACCAAACAUUGUAGCAGUACUUAUUUUUACCUCAACACUUUCAAAUAUAUGAUUUACCAAACAUUAUACCGAGAUUUUUUACAACAGAUUAUUUUUACAACAGAGUUAUUUUAAAGUAGAGUUUAUAUACCUCAAUAUCAAACUAGGCUUUAUUGGUGGACAUAUAACCAAAAUGACGGUUUCUGAUGUCCUAGAAAUGAAAAACAAAAAUUUGAAAGAGUGGCAUUAUUUUUUGAGCAAUUUAAUGACAUCACACAUUAUAACCUAUACUAAAGACCUAUCUCUAAUGUACCGUUCAUUUUAUUUGUCCUUAUUCUCUCGAUAAAUUUUUCAGUAUUUCCGAAAGACCAUGUGGCAUUGCCUGGUUAUCCAAGCCUAUGAGACGUUGACACGUGACACUUUUUAGACAACUCGCAUCAAGGUUAAUUCAUUUAGUUUUCAACUGCAGUAAAACAAACCCCUCAACUAUCGCCGUUAAGUGAUAGUGUGAUAAAAAAAUGUAAAUCUCUGAAUUUUGUUCGUCCUCUCGCCGUCUGCCUUUCUCUUUGUGUUCUUUUCAGCAGAAGCACAAGGAAGCUUGUGGGUUCAGUUAAGCCUUGUCGUCGCCCAUAAGAUCCACUUUGUCCAACAAUUGGGAUUUUCAGUUCCCCGUAGCUAUUACCCGAUCUCCUCCACGCGUCCCCAGGUUUCUUCUCUUCUCUUCUCAUUUCCCAAUUGUUUUUCUUGCUCUUUGGGUCUUGCUAGUUUUUGUUAAUUUUGGUUAGAGAGUUGAAUGAUUGUGAUCAGACUCACUUUUCGGAGAAGAAAAGAAAAUUGAAAAUGGGAGAACUGAGUUCAAAGAAAGAGAAUUUGGGAAACGAAAUCCGCACAAACCGACGGAGGUGAGUAUUCGACGAUUUUGGUUAGUUAUAUGGAAUUGAUGAAACUUCGACGGCUCUCCCUUCUUGAAUAUGUUGUUUAUGGGAUUUGAUUUCUACACCAAAGUGAGGAAAAUUCUAUUAAGCUAUCAUAUAUUCAUAUUGGCUAUGAUUGAAUGGUACAUGACCAUAAUAGCUUGAAUUCCAGUAAAAGCUUUGUGGAUUUGGGAUUUGAAGUUUGAGGUUUUAUUUUUAUUUUUUGGAUUUGAAUUUUGCAGUUUUUGAAAUUUUACAUGUUAGUUGAUGUUGUUAUCCUUUUCAUGUUAAAGUCCAAUGUAUGAUUUAGCAGGUUAGAUGAGAUAUUGGAUUUGCUGAACCUUCAGGUAGUUAGAAAAUAUGCCAAUGUCUCCAAUGGAGGGGUGCCAUUUAAUUAGAAAGUAAACAUCCCACAUUGUUAUCAGCCCUAGACCACCAUUUUACACAUUUCAGACCAACAAUUUGAUUGCUUGUUUUCUCUGCUAUGUACUCAAAUCUAUUACAGCUACUGGGAUAGCUGCAUCACCAAAACUAGUUCUUUGUGUAUCACAGCUUAUGACUCUAAUUGUUUUACCAUCAAGGUCACACAGAAUACUUGAUUUUGGAUUAGUCAUUUACUUAUCCAUUUUGUCAAAUAUGGGUUCUGCUGAGAAAUGCCAGGAUGGCAAGUAAUUAAGCAACAAUUUUUGGAUGAUCCUUCUGAAACAACUAUAUACAUAGCUGGUUUGCAGGCUGCAUGGAAGCUUGGUGCUGCAUUCAAAUUGGUUAUCAUUUGAUUAUGACACUGCGUCUAGUAUCUGCUAAGUUUAUUGGUCUUUAGGUUCAAAAGUUUCGUUUUAUCGAAACUCUUAUGAGUUUUAUUUGGUUUGCAUAUAGUUCUCUUUUGAAGCUUGUAUUAUAUCUAAAUAUUUCUCAUGUUCUCUUUUUAGAUCUACCCCAAAUCCUGUUUUUUCUUUUUUUGAAUUCUGGGUGCACAGGCAGUGAGAUUGUAGUUGUCAGUGACAAACUAAGGAUAAAUUGGAAGAGCUUUAAGGUAUCUCAAUCAGUGAUUUCCUGAAUUACUUCAUUUGGAAGAGCCUUAAGAUAACUUGGUUAUUCUGAUUCCUAUAUGAUGUCUGAUAAUGUGUGGACAUGGGUGCAGGUUGAACCGUAACAGAUGAGGAUUGGCAUAGUUGAGUUUGAGGAUGAUGUGGUACUUGACAGUGAGGGUGACGAAGUUAAUGGAAGGUGACUCAUACAAGUAUGUCUCUGGACAAAAAGUGCACUGCAGGUUUGUAUAUUUGCUUCUUCUUUUUUUUGUUGUAUUUUGGUUAAUUUUUUGAUAGCAGUUGGCGUUGAACGUGUUGAUGAUAUGAAGUUUUUUUUCUUAAUGAAUGCUUGAGGAAGUAAUCUCUGCAAGACUUUGCAUUUACUAAUUUGAAUGACAAGUUUCUUGAAAUAAUUUUCAUACUACGGAGGAGUAAAGGCCGAAAUAUUUGUGCUGCUUGCAGAAUUUAGCUACAUCGACUCCCAUGAUCUUGGUUGGUCGCAUUACUGUAAGAGAAAGACAUUAGAUAAAUGGCUUUCAAACAUAUAUAUGAAGAUAGCUAGCAUCUAGGAUAAUAACAGGGUUUCAAAACUUUUCAAAUAUCGAUAAAAAACUGUGUGCUUGGUCAUAGUUAAGAUCAACUCAGUUAAAAUUGCAUAUGUGAAUGUGUAAAAUUCAAUCUUUGUGCAUAUACCAUAGGGACCAUUAGCACUCAAUAUUCAAUGAUAUAACUCAAAACAUGCAUCUCUCACAAGAAGUAAUGUUUUCAGCCAUUAACGUAAAACCUGAAGAGGAUAGAACUAUUAUGUUUCGAGUCACUUUCGUUUAACCAAAAACUAAUUAGGUCUCAUAGCUAGAAUACCAGCAUGAUGAAGAUGCCAAGGUGCAUUUGAGCAGCAGAGCAGUGAACUCCAGAUGCAAUGAACACCCAAAGUGAUAAUUGUAGAAAUAUAAUCCAUGUUACUUGAAGCAUUUUUCUCCUUAUGUGCAUAAACUAAAUGUCUAUUUAAAAGAGCUCUUACUUUGCUUUAUUGAAGGAUAUAGAUUGUGUCUCAUGUAUAUCGAUCUUUUUUUUUCUUCAUCACAUUGCUUAAUGAGCAUGCACCUUUGUUGUAUAGUCCAAUGGACUAAUUACAUUUUAUUUUUAGUUACAUUCAUGAAAUAUGUAGGAACCUCUAUGCAAUACUCUGAACAAGAAACAUGACAAGAAGUAUGUUCCAAUUUUAUAUGCUAAUUUUAUUGUUCCUUAUGUGGGAUAGAUGGGGUUGGAAGAAUUGUUGGACUGCUAAUCGAUCAGAGGAAGGCCCCAUCAAAGUGGAUGUCUAACCUGUUACUAGAGCUCUUUAAUUUGAUGAUGUAAACUCAGGUUGUCUGAGAGGGAUUUCCCCUUAGUGUUUGUUUGUUUCGUAUCAAAAAAAAGAGUGAAUGUCUAACGCGGACCAAACAAAAGUGGAGGUGUCAUCAUGCAUCUGGGAAUCAUACACCUGCUAAAUUUAUGCUUCGAAUUUCCAGUAUUUUUCCGUGUCUCAACAAUUGUAAAGUUCAUUCGUAUCAAAAAAACAAUUUGUAAAGUUCAUUCUUCAUAGAGUUGUGAGCAGCAUAUUGUAUCAUGAGGAAUUGAUGGGCUCGGAUGCAUAAUGAUUUACGUUUGCAGGAGCCAGGAGAGUUUGGUAUGCCGUUGGAACUUGGAAACCAUGUAGGUAACCAGUUUUGUUGGACAAAGAGGAUGACAAACUCUUAUUUGAAAUGGAAAGCUUUGGUAAACUAUUCAAACCAUGAGAUAUCAAUGUAGCACAAGACUCAUUUAUAUAUCCGACUUUGCCGUGUGUAGUUUGUAUAUAGAUUAUAUCCUUGCUAUGAGGAAAAAAAAAUAUAUAUCCGGCGUAAUUGGGAUAGAAAACGAUCCCCGCGCGGGAAUACCAGCUAGUACAUGGACUAAUCCUUAUAUGAACAAUUUCUAUUCGGAAAUCUAUUACAUGUAAAGCUUCAGACAUGGCAUAAUUCUAGUAACCGAAGAAGUGGCGUCUUAUAUUUAUCUGAAGCUCGUCAGGCAAAUUUUCCAAAAUACGUUCUUCAUUUACAUCCGUGGCAGAAUAUUGUUCGGCAUUUCUCACUUGCCUUCUAAACUCUUCAGGCAAGUUUCUGUACCUCAUCCACGCCUCAACAUCACGCCUCCUCAUCAACAUAUCAGACCUCCUAAAAAACCAAAAGAAUGAGAAAGGCUGAGAUGUAUAUAGAUUCUUACUAUCAGUAACCUCUUUCUCUAACAAAAAAAACUCUAGAAGAAAGAAAGUGGUAAUAAAGUCACGAUCAAACAAUAAAAAUGUGGUCAGCAUAUAGAUUCUUACUUUCAGUAACCCCUUUCUCUCAAUUAAAAAAAAAACUCUAGAAGAAAGAGAAUGGUAAUAAAGUCAAGAUCAAACAAUAAGAGUUAAGAAACAGAUUGGACAAAAAAAAAUAAAAAUAAAAAUUAAGUACCUUUGUCCAAGAGACUGGAGAAAAUUUUGCAUGUUUCCGAUCAGAAGAGCAAGGAGGAAGAGUCCCAGUCCAAUAAUUACCAUCGUAAAGAUAAUUUCACCAUUGUUAUAGCUUGGAGUUAGAUUUCCUCCCAAAGUGCUGAUUUGCUUAAUAAAUCACAGGAGAUAAUAUGUCAGCAUAAAGGUGUAACUUAUUUAUGAAAUCAUAAUAAAAUAAAGGGAAGUUAUCAGCAAUUAGAAUGUAAGGUACCUGAAACCCCCAAAACAAUGAGUAUAGAUAUUUAGUAAUGAUAUGUCCCGUAGUGAUAUUGAUAAUUGGCGCAUAGAUUCCAUAUGAGAAGUCUCCAUUGGGACUAAAACAAAGAGCAGCCUUCUCAUUUAGUCUCCGUUUAGUAAUUAACUCAUCCAGGGAAAGAUAACGAGCAUGCCAACAAUCUAUUAAGUUCGGGCAUGACUGCAUAUUAGAAUUGUGGCAGGCGUCUUGAAGACAUUGGUUAACCCUCUGGAACAAGAAAAAAAAUACAAAUGUUCUCAGUGGCAUAGCCAGAAACUAUCACUAGAAGGGUCAAAAUUUAAACAAUAAUACUAUUGCCUGUUAAAAAAAAUUAAAAAAUUAAAAAACUAUUGAAUGACAUAAAAAUGUAUGAAUUAUUACAUCAAUAAUUAAAAAGGACAAAAAGUAGGUUUUCCUAAAGCAAUUAUAAUUGUUCACGACAAUUACUCAUAUUUUGAAAUAUUUUCAUGAUGGUUUCACCGUCAAAUAUAUCUUUCUCAAUAUAUGUAAUCAUGAACAUGUCUCCCAUUCGGUUUCGCAAAUCACUUAUAUAACCGUCAUGGCAAAAAAUGCUCUUUCUACAGUGACAAUUGCAACUGGAAGAAUCAGUGUCAAUGUUAUGAGCAAGUAAACUAACGGAUCAACCUGGUUUUUCUGUUUCAACAAUUUUUUCUCGAAGCUCACUAAUUUCUUUCAUUUUUUUCCAAAGUACAUUCAUUGGAUCUAUCUCUAUUCUGAAGUACAGCGACAAUUGCAACUGGAAGAAUCAGUGUCAAUGUUAUGAGCAAGUAAACUAACGGAUAAACUUGGUUUUUCUGUUUCAACCAUUUUUUCUCGAAGCUCACUAAUUUCGGUCAUUUUUUUCCGAAGUACCUUCAUUGGAUCUAUUUCUUAUUUGAAUAGCUUGAGAUGCUGUCAACUGAUCCGUUGCUUUCUUUACAAUAUUUUUGAGAAAAUUUUCAUAAUUUCAAAUNNNNNNNNNNNNNNNNNNNNUUCAUAAUUUCAAAUAUUAAUUCUAAAGGUUUUGACUUGUUGUUUGUAGGGAGAAAUGUUUAAAGAACAAAAAAAGGAAUUACAGUUGAGAAGAAUUUAAAGAGCAUGAUAAGAGACAAAUAAAUUGUAGAAGCUUGAAUUUAUAUAGACGCAAGGUAAAUCAUGAAUCGAUUAGGAAGACAAAAAUGAAUAAUAAAUCUGUCCAAAUAUGAGAUGAAAGCAAACUUCUUUCCGAAAACUAUUUUCUUACUCCUAUAUUGAUUAGUAAAAAACAUGGGGUUAGAACUUAAAAGCUUUUCUGUCGACAAGGGUGGAGUAGUCUUGUCCAAACCAAGACAAGAUUUGGAAGGAGAUUACAAAUAUUUAAGACAAGUCUUGUCCAUAAGGGUCAAAUCUUGUUUCAAAGUGUAAUAUAUAUAUAUGUUGCCCCAACCAAUAGAAAGUUAGCUUAAAAUGUUAGAGGGUUCAAUUGAACCCUCUCGCCCCAUUGUGCCUACGCCCCUGAAUGUUCUAUUAAUUUGUUUUGACUUUAUCAUAAUUAAUUGCAUCAUAAAUUUCUUGUGAUUAUUGACUUUGGUAUAUAUUUAUAUAUUAUACUCAUUAGGUUUUUUUUUUUUUGAUCAAAUGCUCAUUAGGUAUUUAGUAAAAAUUCUGAUAUUUCUUUAAAAUAAAAAUAAAAAUUCCAAUAAAUAUGAAACAAAUAAAAAGAUAUACAAUUUAAAGACGACGUAAACCUUGUUAGUUGACUCAUAUUUAAAUUAUGGCAAUUUGUGUAAUUCUUUUGAAAAAAAAAAAAAAGAAAUCUAAUAUUUGAUCCUAGUUGGCAAUAAUUGGGUGUAAUUUAAAACAAUUUUAUGAGUGAGUUUAAUAUAAAAUGUGAUUUGAAUAUUAAGUGUAAAAUGAAAUGCCUCAUCAAACAAAUACGGGGAAAUAUGCAUCAUUAGGUUAGAUAAAAUGAAAUCUCCACACACCUGUAAGCCAAAGAGGUACCACCAUGACCCAAUGACAUGGGCAACCAGCAAAAAACUGAGUGUGUUUACAAUGAAAUUCGUCCAAAUUGACCCGAAUACAAAGAAUCCAUUCAAUGAUCGACCAGCAAGAAGGGACAAAACCCUAUACACCCUAGGAAAGUAUUGAAGAAAUAUUGCCAGGUGUAGAAGAUUCUUGGUCUCAUUUGUUCGUAGAGAAAAUCUUCCGUGCAACAGCCGCACCAGCUGACAUGUGCGACCAGCCGACCAACAAGUGCCUUGAUUUUUUCCACGCCAGCAAACUACGAAAAAGGCUCCAAGUUUAAAGUUGAAAUUUCAUUAUCCCGCCGGAAGCCAGAGUUAUAUUUAAAUUAGGAUUUCUAGGUGGUUAUUCUAAUCCAGGGAAGAACAAACGCCUCACUUUUCAGAUUACGGUCUCCUCAUUCCUCCCACUCACUUUUCUCCCACCGAUACUGAUAAUUCAUCAUCUCAUUUCCUACCGUUUCCAAAUUCAUGAACACAGAUCUUUCUAGACCCGAUUCAUGAACAUAGAUCAUGCUCGACCCGAUUCACGAACAGAGAUCUUUCUCAACCCGUUUAGUUCAUUCUCAUCGGUCAGGUAUUAUCUUUCUAUGCUGAAAUUAUGUGGCACCUCUUAUCUUCAAUCUUUUAUUCUUUGUGAGUGUAUCGUGUGGAUGGGAUGGACUGGAGAGAUAGAUAAUAGUUGAAAAGAAGACCAUGGGGAUGAGUUGGUUUUAGUCUCCAAAUUGAGGUUUAGGAGGUGGGUCAUUUUCUUGGAAUUCCAAUUUUUUGAGGUUUGGGAGGUGGUUUUUUUUGGGUUUCAAUCUGGACAUCUUACAUGCUUUGCCAUGGAAAUAGUACAUGCUUUGUUGUAUAUAGGAAUGAAUGAUGUGAACCCACCUGGAUUACUAGUCUGAUAGUCUCCGUUUGCAUAGACUUUUCUUAAUUCAAUUUUAGAUGCACACAGUUCUUUUUCCUGGAGCUUGCUUUCAGGUACUUGGAUAUUUCACACUUUCUCUAUGUUGGUCUUUUCCCUUUCAUGUAUUUUUCAGUUUGUUAGUUAUAGGAAGUGAUCAAGCACAUUCUUUGUCAUGGCUAUUUGGGAGGUUAACAGUGUCUCACUGUCUCUAUUCUCUAAAUUAGUUAAAGAUGCUUUUUGUUCAGAGCUUUUUAUUGUGUCUUUAAUUAGACAAAGAUAGUUUCUUUAUAGCAGUAGUGAACAAGGGUUUAAAGUAGAUGAUUUUCUUUUGAGUUUAUUGUUUUGUGCGUGUGUUGCAGUGUUAGAUAUUAGUAGAUAAGCUAAAGGUGAUGACGGAUCAGCCAAAAGCCAAGAGGUACAAAAAUCUCUGCUCACGGUUUACAACUAAUAAUACUCCAUCAAGUGAUAGUGACGAUGAGAUUGAGAUAGGGAGUGGGAGUAGAAAUGUGACUGUGGAUUGGCAUUGUUGACAGUUUUGGUACUCUAUGUGCGUGCAUACAAGGAAUGAAAGCAUUUCGAAGAGAUUGCCGAAGCUACAGAAUUCAAGAGAAUCACUUUAUAUUGUAUCAAUCUAUUAGCUCCGAUCGAUUAGUACUUUAUUAUGAUACAUUGUGGUGUAAUUUUGACACAAGUAAUUUUUCAUUGUGUUAAAUUUAGUUGUUACAAUUAUAAUCAAUCAAAACCUUCAUUUGACAUCUCUUUUUCAUUGUCUUCCAUUUUGUUUCAGUAGAAUGUACCUUGAGUAACAUUAUCAUAUCUUGAUCAGAGGCUUGGUUUCAUCUCUGGAUUUUGUUGCAUUAUUACCUUUUGGUUUGUGUCAAAGAUUAAAGAUAUGGUUAAAAAUUGAGAAAGAAAAAAGCUGAUGGAAAGAUACUUGAAUUUGUGAUGCUUAAACUACUAAGAUAUACUCAAUGAUCGAAUGUAAUCAUCAUAAAAAAAUAUUGUAGCACAGGUUACAUACAAAAGUUCGAUCAAAACAAGCUCUAAACAUGUCUUCGAUUCAGUUCUUAUAAAAUGCUCAUGUUAGUACUACAUCAUGAAACUUGCACACAUGACUUCAGUUCUCAUAAAAUGGUCCUCUUAAUACUGCAUCAAUGAAACCUGCACAAUUUAACUUCUGUAACUAUACUGUAAUUCAGGUUCAAUAUCAUCAACUCAAGCAUAUAAUAUUAAAAUACAGAACUAACCUCACUGAGGUUGUUGUCUAAGUGUAGGAUCAAUAGUCAAAGUCGCAGUUGGUGCAAGAUUCAACCCUGUAGUAUUCUACAAAUAUAGAACUAGUUUAUUUUCAAUAUAGCCAACUAAAAUGUAUGAAUGUACUAAGAUUUCAAAUAUACAUAUACCUGGUUUGAGAAAGGCAUCUGACCAUAACUAACAUGUGAAUGAGGAUGCUCAAAAGGCCAACUUAAAUUUCCCUGAAAGAGAAUGACAUGUAUGAAUAUGUUCAGUCUGUAAUACAUAAAGAAACAUACAUAUAAAGCUUCAAAAUGCAGACCUGAUUACUGAAUGUUGGGGUGUUGGGUACUCCAAACUGAUUACUCACUGUUGGGAUGUUAGGUACUCCAUACUGAUUACAGAAUGUUGGGAUGUUAGGUACUACAAACCGAUGAUUAUUGAAUGUAGACACAUCAGUUGGAGCUUUUGGAUCAUUAUUUUCUUGGUUUUCUUGUUCUGCAUCAGUAAAAAUUUCAGCUAUACAAAGUACACAAAACAAGAACUAUCAAUAUAAGCUUAUUUAAGAACUAUAUAAAAUAUGUAUGUACCUUUUGUUCUCUUCUUCCUUUGAUUUGUCUCCAUCACAUCUUUGAUUCUACUAUUUUUCAUUCCCUUAGUCUUUGCAUUUGGUGGGUUCAAAACUAGUGUCUCAUUACUAGAAAUGGUAGAGCCAGACUCAGCACCAAAAUUCUUCAGAUUUUCCAACACGUAAAGGGUGUCCUUGUCUUUUUCAAGACGCUUCAUUGCCUCUGUUAACAAAUGCUUGACAAUUUUAGUACCUAAACUAGUUAAUGAGGCUAUGUCAUACACAUUAUUUCCUUCAUGCAUCAAUUCGCUGAGGCGCAACACUCUAGCAGUCUUUAAAUUCUCACUUGUUCCUACACUUGUGUCACUGCUGACCACUACCGUACCCCUUUCUUUGCCUCUUUAGUCCACCUCUUCAAUAUAUACUGAGUUGGUAAAGUUGUGAUAUUAUUUGUAUCAAACACCUUCAAAGCAUGACGACACAAGAUCCCAACAGACUUAAAUGACUUACAAGAACAAGAUAUGCUCAAGGAUGUAGAGUUGUAUUCAAUCUUGUGCACACUUUCACGACCAUCUUCAAUUGCUUCAUAUACAUAAACUUGAUCUUUACUGGAAACUUCUUUUAGUCUAACUCCCAUACAACUAUAGAAUUCUGUUUCAAAAAACUGAAAAAUUUUGUUAGUAUAAACCUUGGCAGCACUGCUUAACAUCUUAGUCCAUACUUUUGGACGACGUGCACCAUUUUUGCUACGGUAGUCAUCUUCUAACUCUGUUAAACGCAACUCUUCAAUCUUUUUCUUAUAGUGAUGAACAAAUUUAAUAAGCUCCAUUGUGUGUGUAGAAAUUCCUUGGAACACAUUGUUUGUACUUUCACUCCUUUGAGUAGAUCUAAUCCUUGCCGAAAAAGUGUCCAAAUUAAAUGCUGCACACCACUUCUGUCGGAGUGAAUACAACUUUGCUAGCCAAGGAUUAUUUCCGAGAUUAUAUCUACCAAUCAAGUUAUCCCAUAAAACCUGAAAUUCAAUUUCAGAACAGCACCCAUGUAAACAAUGGUUGAAUUGCUUCUUGAACUCUGGAUUUCCAAGAUAACUACCAAUUUUCUUUCGGCAUUCUUGCCAAUAUGCCAAGUGCACAAUCAAUGGGAUGCACCUGGAAACACUAUUUUAACUGCCUUUGCCAUUGCUUUAUCUUCAUUUGUGAAAAUAGUUUUUGGUGCUUUAUUUCCCAUCGACUCCAAAAAGGAUUCGAACAACCAAACAAAAGACUCUGUAGUCUCAUCUAAUAGAAAUGCACAUCCAAACACAACAUUUCUCCAAUGAUGAUUAACUCCAACUAUUGGAGCACAAAUCAGAUCAUACUUGUUUGUACGAAAUGUUGUAUCAAAGCAUAUAACAUCACCAAAACAAUCAUAAUCUGACUUUGCUCUACCAUCCCUCCAAAAGAAGUUUAUCAUUCAGCUAUAUUGGUCCAAUUGCAUUGAAUAGAAAAAGUUAGGGUCCUCACCUUGUUUGUGCUUAAAGUGAUUCAGCAAGCUUUGUGCAUCACCUGCUUCCACCAUUUCAUUCUUUUUUCUUUGCAAGUAGUUGUAGACGUCUUUCUUAGUGCACCCAACAUUUUCUGAACCACCCACUUCAUUUGCUAUGUAAAAAAAUGCUUUUGUUGCUCCUAUUCUUGCAACUUUCAUGGAAGUAAAAACUUGUCCACAAGCAUCUGUUACUUUUCGCCCAGAUCUCAAAAAUUGCCUUUCUUCAGGGUUUGCAAGCUCAUGGUUAUGAUCUGAAUUGAUAUGUGAUAUUGUCCAUAUCCCAUCUUUCACAAUAAACGAUAUCAUAGCCUUGCAACCGACUCUUGUUUCCAACUUCCUAUGUUUGGUUGGUUCAAACACAUCUUGGUCUUGUGCAAACCCUUCCUUUGAACAUACAAACUCUCGUAACCGGAUGUUAUUUGAUGCAUCUCUUCUAAUAUGUGACUUACGAACACUGAAACCCUUCCUCAAAGCAUAGGUAUUAUAUAAAUUGUAAGCCUCCUCAUCUGAGUGUACUUGAGUUCCCACUUUGAGUUCUUCAUCGUCUUCAAUUAUUUCCUCCAUUCUUUCACAAGCCAAUUUAACUCUGUAAAACACAAAAAAGUUUAAGCAAAUUUUUGGUCAAUUGCAUAGGACUUUCAAGUAUCAAUGAUCAUUAGUUAAUGAGAAAAUCUAUUAGAUUAGAAAAACCAAUCGUACAAACACCAAAUCACACAGUGAUUGAAUAAUCAAAAUCUAAAGGAUCAGUUUAAGUAUCAGUUUAUAUACAACCACUUUUAAGUAUUGGUUUAUAUACAACGUCUUCAUUACUCAUCAAUUCUUUGUGUCAAGUUCACACAGAGGAUCAUGACAAAUCCAAAACAAUCGAACCCAAAUACUCAUAAGAAAAGCAAAGAAAUACUAACCUGAAUCAAAUUGCUUAUCGAGAUGAUCUUGUAUUGAUUAAAUUGAGCAAUCAUGAGAACGAGCUAACAGGUCGAGAAAGACUGGUUUUGGUGAAUCUGAAAAUUGAUUAUCAGUAAUGAGGAGACCCUAAUCUGAAAAUUGAGUGAGAGGAACAAGAAGUCGUCCACUGUUUGUUCUUCCCCAGAUUAGAAAAACACCUAGAAAUCCUAAUUUAGCUAAAACUCGGCGGGAUAAUGAAAUUUCAACUUUAAACUUGGAGCCUUUUUCGUAGUUUGCUGGCGUGGAAAAAAAUCAAGACGUAGCACUUGUUGGUUGGCUGGUCGCACAUGCCAGCUGGUGCGGCUGUUGCACGGAAGAUUUUCUCUUGUUUGUAACGAUCGCCGAACAAUCGACAACACUAUUAUCUGAACAAGAAUUUAAACCAAAAACAAGAAUAAAUCAAAUCUAAAAACCCGUCAUAUGGGGUAUCUGUAGAAAAAAAAAAAAUUAAUGACAUACUUGUAAUAAAAACAGUUAUGACUUGUAAUCUUAGUCUAUAAAGUUGGACGCACCGACUUGUAAUUGACAUUUGUAGAAUGAUCAUAUUUAAACAAUUACACAUAAGCAUAUCAAACCAAUUCAAAGUGGACAUGAGAGAAAGAGCUUACCUGAGGAACCGGUAAUACAAUUAUUAGGUCGAUUAAAAAGUUUCCAUGGAGAUAAUUUAGAGCGAUUUUUUUUGGUUGGUCUACUAUUUCUCCUGGACCAACCAUUCUAGACCUAGGAACUUCAUAAGCCAGCCUAAACUGCCAUGCAUAAGCAAUAAAAAUUUAGAAAGGCUCAAACAGACAAGAAAAAGAAAAAAACAACAAUUUAUUUAAGAUACCAAUUGAAUAAUACAGAUUUAGAAUGACAUUUUUAAACAGAAUAUGUCAUGCACUUACUUGGAUAAGCAUGUGUAACAGAUAUAUAGUCUGUCACAGUCCGUAAAAACACCAGUAGUAUGGUUUUAUGCCAGUCCAUAAAUAUGCACUUCUGAUCCUGCAUUUUAAGAAUACAGAUACCCCUCUAUUAAAAAAAGAAUAGAACGGGAAACAAAUUUACAUACUAAAGCAAUUUUCGAACGGCUGUUAUUUUUUCUUUUUCUUUUUAAUAAGAAGAAGAAAUUUCUGCUUCAAGAAUAAUGCAGUCUCAAAAUUUAAUGCAAACAUAUUUUAAAGUGAUGACAUCAAGUGAGAGAAAAACAAAGAUAUAGAAAGAGAGAAAGAAAAAAUAGAUUGUUCCGCGCUCGCAGAGGCCGCCGGAAUGGUAGCUUCUAGCAGAGGCAACCGGAAUCAAUAGGAGGAUCGGAUACCGUUGUGGGUUUUCGGGUCAAGGAACAAGGCCGAUUAGUUUGAGUUUUUCUACACCUUGUGAUAUCUCGAUAUUUCUAUUUCAAAUAAGGAAGAUUGAGAGAGAAAAUCGAGGGUUCAAGGAGGAGAGCAGAGAGCAUAUUGGGGAAGAAGAAGAUGAGAUGAUGAGGAAGAUGGAGAUCACGCGCCGUGAAAAGAAACGUUUGUGAUCCCUCACUGGGUCAACUGAAGAACCUUCGGCCGAAUAGCUGUUUCUUCUUCAACACCCUAUUUCAAUCGAAUUUGGUCGGCGCCUUUGCAGAUUUACACUCUAACACAGUGGAUUUGAGUUUUUUUGGCACCAAAUUUUGUUAGCGCGUAUAGUACAUGCGCCGUUUAGGAAAGAAGAAGACGCAUCAGAAGAUACCGAUGCCGAAGCCUCACCCUGUGAAUGGAAGAAUCUCCGACGUGCAAGAGAGAGAAAACAAGAUAAAGAUAAAAUACCAUUUCUCUCUCUCUCGUCCCCACUCCCCCAAGUGUCCAAACCCCAACUCCCCAAGUGUCCAAAUUAAUCCCUAACUCCCCAAGUACCAACCAUAGCCAGGCCGGACCUGAGAUUUCAAGGUCUGAGAUGAGUUUUAAGAAUGGUGUCCUCUAAUGACCGGAAAGCUUCACCUUGAGCAGAGGAGUUUGAGGAGACCAGUAAUGAGGAAUAAAACUGGCAUAAUGGUUUAGAAGUUUGGGAGCAAAACCCAGUUUUUAGAGACGGAGGGGCCCACUAACUUAACAGUGAGGAGAGGAAAAAAGAAGAAGUUAAAAGAUAAACAAGUGGUUAACCCUUCUCUCCUCUUCUAAACCACAAAAAUCCAGUUUUUAUUAUCAUCGACAACCAUCACUGCUCAUCAUCAUCCCCGUUUCAAACUUCUCUCUCUCCCUUCUCUUCUCUUCUAAACCCAACCAUUUCCUCUGUUUUUCAUUUCAAAAAACCAAAACCCAAACAAUUAUAGCUUUAAGCUUUAGUUUCCAUGGCUAGCAGACUUUUCUAAUCCCUCCUGCUCAAGGCAGCUACCGGAUUUUGGUGCCCCCAGAUUUUUGGGGCCUGAGGCAGCCGCCUCGUCGGCCUCACCUCAGGUUCGGGCCCAAGGAAGAAAAUUUCGGUGAUUACGGAAAUUUUGACCCUCCAAAAUAUGGAAAUUUCGACGGAAAUUUCGGGGAAAUAUCGAUUGCAGUAAAAAAAUUGAGAAAAUUGACGGAAAUUUGAAGAAAAACAAGGAAAUUUUAAACCAAACUUUAAGAGAUGUUUGUUUUCUAUAUUAUGUACUAUAUUUGAAAUGAAAACCUUGAAUAAACAUCGAUCUAUAAGGAGUUGUAGUAAGUUAAGGUGAAAAAGUUAGUGCUGAACCGUUAAUAAUUCUUAGAAGUUUACUUUAAACAUUUUUUUUUUAUGGCUGGAAACCCAAAGGAGGCUAGGUCAUCACGCUUUAUAUACAUAUGAUAUAUUUCACAUGGAAUUACAUGAGUACUUUAAAACCACGUAGAAGACCUAUGAUGUACAAAAUUUUCAUUAUCUUUAUCGUCUCUCUGUGUAGAGCCUUCAGUAUAUUGUGAAGAAUAGUCAUUAAAUAAUACCUCACCUUUAUAGAUAUAUUAAAAAUGAAUUAAGAAGUGUAGGUAAAAAAUCUUUUUUAUGGAAGUGUAGGUAAAAAAAUUAGUUGGAGAUUAGACAUUUACCUAAUUUUUUACUUUUCAAAUUAAAAAAACCAAUAUAUAUUAUAAAGAUACUAUAAUAAACAAGUUAAAUGGUUAGUAGGGUUGGUUAAGUUGUUAAUCUUGUACCAACCCGACCCAGGCUCGACUCACCUUCGCAGCAAAAUUCAAAGUCAAACAUUUCGGCAGGAAAGUAAGUUUUGCAGUGUUCAAAGUCAGGGGAAACAAUCAUUCAAAUUUGGGCGGGAAAGUGGGAAACCAUUUCAGCUUCGACUUUUCGGUGGGAUUUCAAAGUUUCGGCGAUAUUUUCGAAAUAUCGCGAUAUAUCGGAAAAUAUCGAUUAUUUCGGACGAAAAAUUCUGAGAAUGAAAAUAUAUAUCACCGUGUGAUAAAAACGAAAUUUUCGGCGAUAUUUCGACGAAAAUUUCGAUUUUUUCUUCCUUGUUCGGGCCUGACCAUAGCACAAUCGUUGUCUGCUAUUGUUGGGUCGCCGAUAUAGUUUUCUUAUUGGAAACUAUGCACUUUAUGUUAAUGCCUAGAGAACCCUAUUCCUCCAAAAAAGAAGAAGCCGGUGUCUAACAAGAAGCUGAAGAAAGAGAGGCUGAAGCAAGGCGUCUCUGCUCCAGCAGGCGAGUAAAUAUGGAAGAAAGACCGCAACUCUGCAUGCAUGUUGAGCUCACAUAUGUUGAGAGUUUGUUCUUUCAUUUCCCUUAAUACUAGAUGGAAUUGGACUUAGUAAUUGGAACCCUGUAUUGAUCUAGCAACCAGGGAGUGAGAAUGUUGUUCCUAAGACAGUUUUUAUCUUCAAAUUUUCUUUCUUAAACAAGUAAUAAUCAGACCUCAGAACUUAGAAUGAGUUACUUUGCCAAAUAAAAUAAAAAAUAAAAAAACAUAACAGAAAGAAAGGGAAGAAAAAGAAAAAGAAUAAAAAGAAAUAUUCUGAACCAUCAAUACUUUGUCUCUGUUCCUCAUGUGCUAGAAUAAACGAAAACAUCUAACUGUUUGUGAAAGAAAAAGAAAAAAAAACAUGUAAACUAAGACUAAUGCAAAAAGAAGGAAAAUAUACCUCAUGUGAAUAUAGCAGAAAGAAAUGUAGUGGAUCUACAAAAACCGCGACCAUGCAAGAUACUACAAAAAACUUGUUUUAUCUUCAAACAACUUUGUUAUCAGGUUCACAAUCCCGAUAACAUAGGGAUGCAAAAAAAAACAUGUUCCUUUAAACAAACUCAACAAAUUCUUUUUGUAUGACAUAUUUGUCUAUCGCUAAAUAUGAAAUGAGUGAAAUGUCGAUGAGGAUGAUUGUGAAGUUGUUUGGAUUUAAAUGUAUAAUGAGGUACGGAUCGGAGAGAUGGGAGAAUGGGAAGUUCGAUAUAUGUAUUAGAUGAGUGAACUCAAUGAGGAUGAAGUUGUGAGAUUUAUGAUAUGGGAAGAUCGAUGCCUUAUAUAAAGAAGAGGACUAGAGGAGUGAUGUUGAUAUCACUGGAAUCAAUAUGUUUGGCCAUGUUUUUAAGAAAUGAUUGUUUUUAGUUAGGGACAGAAAAUUUUCAUGCCUAGUUGUGCAUGUAUUACCUAGAGACACAUUAUAUAUAUGAUGGUGUGCACGGUAAAAAGGCAUAUGAUAACGACUUCAAGGAAAGCAUUCAAAUUUUCUCAAAACUAAAGUAACACUUUAUUCUCCCAUAUUUCUAUCUUCAACUCUCUUUAAUCUUUCAUUCAAUUGGAAGAUUAACAUAAGAGAUGAACCAGUCUUGGUGGACCCAUAAUCACAUCCAAGCUUCACCGAAAUCAAAUCCUCUGUCUUCCUAAGCGAGGAUGGAUCAAGAACAUUAUAUGUAAGGGAUAAUUCAAAUUCAGCACUUUCUGGAAAGCAAUCUGAGAAAUCCCCAUGGGGCUUUUGUUGGGCUUUAUCCUAUUGUCUUUCUUCAAUCUUCAUCUAUUGUUCGUCUUUGUCUUAUACCCAUCUUCUUCCGUUCUCUGAUUCUGUGCAACUUUGAUCUUUAUCUUUGUCUUAAUCUCAUCCUGUAAUAAGUUUUUGACCCACUUUCCCUUUCGAUUUCUUUUUCUCUAUAAAUAUCUCUCUUGAGUCUCAUACACCCAAUCCCAAUUACAGUCAUUCAAUCUCGUCCUUCAUCGGCUCAUGUACAAACAAUGUUUUUUUUAGGAGCCACUCUACCCAGAACCAUCGGUGGUAUACUUUGGAAAAUAAAGUAUGUAAAUCAAUCUGCCACUUGCCCAUUGCAUCACCAAUAAUCGACACACCCAUUGAAAUCGAUUGAACCAGAUUGAAAUACUGAGAUGCAAGAGUGAAUUGAUUUUUCAGAGAAAAGAAAAUAUCAGAUCUAGAAGAAGAAGAAGAUUCGAAUGAAGUUAACAGAGCAAUUGACGUUAGUUCCUGCCAUUUGCUUGCUUGGAAAAAAAAUACAAACGUGUCAACACGAGUGGAUGGUCGUAUGAAUGACGUGGUGCGAGUGCCGCACCUAAGAGUAAGUCCACCCCAAACUCCAAAACUGUGACCCAGACCUUUAGCCAUCUCAAAUAAAGACUCAGACAAAAAAAAACCAAAUCCACCUAUAGAAAAAAAUGAUAACCCAAUCUUUAUUAGAUCAAGACCUGAGUUAGACUCAUAACCAGGCAGAAAAAUGAAGGCCCGGGCCUUCCCUCUCCAGCUCAGCCCACUUGCAUGGGUUUGCAUGACGUCAGCCAUGUUAGAAGACUUGGAGAGAUGAAAGAAGACGCGUCUUGAUGUGGGUGAAGAACACAGACCAAUUGUUGAUGAAAGAGGACGCGCGGGGAACUCAUUUUGUCGCCAUGCGGGGUUAGUGGAUGGGCCACAUGCACGUUCCAAACCUUCACACACCCAUUUAUGUGAAUCUGAUGGUAUAUAUUUAACAACCAAAUAUUUUUAUUACAGAAAUAAAUAGGAAUUAUAAGUUAUAGUUUUAUUUUUUUGGAAUUUUAAUUUCUUCAACAUCCCACAAAAAAAAAAUUGUGCAUUUUAGAUCCAAUUUUUCAUAUCCCUAGCAUUGCUAUUUAUUUAUAAAAUUUUCAUAAAUUUGUCAUAUUAAAUAAUUCCGUGGAAUAAAUAUUUUUAAUAAAUAUUAAACAGUCACUGUCACGUGGUGACCCAAAAACUAAAAUCAUGGGUGGAAACUACAGCUCAAAAUCACUGCCACGUGGCGACCUAGGUCUCGCCUAAGACCCAGACCUUCCCAACGAAGACCUAGAAGGUGGACUUGUUCUAAGAUGACACGGUGUGAGUGCCCCACGCAAGAAUUGCUCCCUGGACCGUGACCACGUGUUUUGGAUAGGGUAAUGCACUACAAAAAAUAUGCGUAAAAGCGACAGUUUUUUCCCCACAUUUUCAGUUUUCGUGGGAGUAUAGUACUGAAUAGUGUCAACGUUUGAAAUCUUUCGAACUCUCCCACGCAAGUCGCAACUUCGAAUUCGUGGAGUAUAAAACAAUAAAAAAUUGUUCUGUAUGGGUAUUUAAUUCUGACACUCUAUUUUUUUUUCCAGUUUAUAAUUCUAAAUUCAGUAAACACCACGCUUUUAACAAUUAGUGGGAAGUAAAUAAUAAAAUAUUAUGAUAGUGUGGAAUUAUGAUGUUGAAACGAUGUAAUUAUCAUGACAUUUUAGUUUCUUACCCGUUUUUAGUAAUUAAUUCAUUUGAAUGUCCCACAAAUAUGCACAAAACGUGAGAACUUAUCUGUACAAGUACAACUGUUGNNNNNNNNNNNNNNNNNNNNNNNNNNNNNNNNNNNNNNNNNNNNNNNNNNNNNNNNNNNNNNNNNNNNNNNNNNNNNNNNNNNNNNNNNNNNNNNNNNNNNNNNNNNNNNNNNNNNNNNNNNNNNNNNNNNNNNNNNNNNNNNNNNNNNNNNNNNNNNNNNNNNNNNNNNNNNNNNNNNNNNNNNNNNNNNNNNNNNNNNNNNNNNNNNNNNNNNNNNNNNNNNNNNNNNNNNNNNNNNNNNNNNNNNNNNNNNNNNNNNNNNNNNNNNNNNNNNNNNNNNNNNNNNNNNNNNNNNNNNNNAUCUAUAAACAAGAUAAACAAGAAAUGGAGUAAAAAUUUCAACAAAGAUUAAUUCCUGGUACACUUUCAUCUUUCUUAACAUCUUAUGGCAUUGAUAUUGACUGGAAUAGCUCACAAAUAAUUUGCAGAUUGCAACUCUAGUUAAAUCCAAUUUGUCAAUACUGCACUUUAAUGCAUCAGGACUCGAGCCUAGUUGUUAUAUAUACUUCUAUAGUAAAGCUAGUAUUAGUAUAUGUGAACAAAGUUCAAAUCUGUGCGUAAGAAUGAUCCUUUCUAAGUUUCUCAUCUGUAUUAUUUGAAUGUCUGCAGUUUGCGAUACCAUUUCCACCCUGUGACAGGUGGAUGCUGAAGUUUUUAGUAAUCCAGCAAUGAUUUUGAAGAUGAAAUUGACCAAUCUUCCAUGGAGACUAUAAAUCAUUCAGAAAGGGUCCCUAAAAUGUAAAAUUGUUUAGAAUUACAUAUGAAAGCUUGUAGUGCCUUUGAUUCCAUGACUGAAAUUUACAGGGUUAGCAUUUCUGGCUUACUAAAGCUUGUACUGGCUCCCACCAUAUAUGCCAAGAUGCUUAGAAGAUUUCUGCCAAUCUCUUUAUUUUGGCGUAUGUAAGGAUCAAAAACUGACAUGAUUGCAACCUAAGAGCUAUAAAAUUUGAUCAAAAUUUUCUCCAAUUCAGUCAUAUAUCAUGCUAGUCAAGUUCAUCAUGUUGUUUGGAAACAAUGUGACUUAUCAUGCGAAUUUCACGUCACUUAUCACACAGAAACGCUCUUACCAACCUCUCCGUAACCGAGUUUGGUUGAUUCUUUCAUACGUUAAACUCUCACACAGAUGAGACGUUACACAUAAAAAUUUGAAAACGUUUGAUUCCUGUUGAUACGGCUCCCCAUAAGGAAGAUUAAGGGUAAAAAAGGUUGACCGUUUUUAUCGGUACCCAAAAGUUACUCGAAAUAUGUGAUUUUUCAACCAUAGCCGUAUUUCACUAUUCCGAUCACAUCUUAUUUACGAGAUUUUUGCUUCCUUUGUACAGUUGGUUUACAAAAUUGUACACUUGCAUAUAACCUACUAAACAAGUUAUAUCACAUUAGUAGACACGUUGUGAUUUCGAUGACUAAAAUUCUCAAAAUGAAAAUUCCACAGUCUGAUAUGAUCAUUAUAGUAAACCAUGUCUAUGGUAUAAAAUUCAACUCUAUUCGGUAGCGUUCGGGGCUCGAUCGAAGCGGUCAACCAUAAUAUAUCGUCACUUAUCACACGGAAACGCUCUUACCUACCUCUCCACGACCUAAUUUGGUCAAUUCUUCCACACGUUAAACUCUCACAUAGAUGAAACGUAACCACACAUAAAAAUUUGGAGACGUUUAACUCUCGUUGAUAGGGCUCCCUAUAGGGAAGAUUAAGCGUAAAAAAGGUUAACUGCUUUUAUCGGCACCCAAACGUUAACCGAAAUAUGUGAUUUUUCAACCAUAGUAGCUAAACACUAUUUUGAUCACAUCUUAUUUCACGAGAAUUUUGAAAAUUUUACUUCCUUUAUGUAGUUGGUUUAAAAAGUUGUACACUUGCAUAUAACCUAUUAAAUAAGUUAUACUAUAUUAGUAGACACGUUGUGAUUCCGAUAACUUAAAAUCACAAAAUGAAAAUUCCACCGUCUGAUAUGAUCAUUAUAGUAAAUCAUGUCUAUGAUAUAAAAUUCAACUUGAUUCGGCAACGUUCGUGGCUCGAUCGAAGCGGUCAACCCUAAUAUAUCGUCACUUAUCACACGGAAACGCUCUUACCUACCUCUUUGUGACCUAGUUUGGUUGAUUCUUUCACACAUUAAACUCUCACAUAGAUGAGACGUAACCACAUAUGUAAAAAUUUGGAGACGUUUACCUCCCGAAAAUAGGGCUCCUUAUAGGGAAGAUUAAACGUAAAAAAUGUUACUGUUUUUAUCGGCACCCAAACGUUACCCGAAAUACGUGAUUUUUCAACCAUAGCUAUAUUUCACUAUUUUGAUCACAUCUUAUUUCACGAGAUUUUUGAAAAUUUUGCUUCUUUUGUGUAGUUGGUUUACAAAGUUGUACACUUGUAUAUAACCUAUUAAAUAAGUUAUACUAUAUUAGUAGACACGUUGUAAUUCCAAUGACUAAAAAUCAUAAAAUGAAAAUUCCACCGUCUGAUAUGAUCAUUAUAGUAAAACAUGUUUAUGAUAUAAAAUUCAACUUGAUUCAGCAACGUUCGGGGCUCGAUCGAAGCAGUCAACCCUAUUAUAUCGUCACUUAUCACACGAAAACACUCUUACCUACCUCUUUGUGACCUAGUUUGGUCGAUUACUCCACACGUUAAACUCUCACAUAGAUGAGACGUAACCACACAUAAAAAUUUGGAGACGUUUACCUCCCGAAGAUAGGGCUCCCAUAGGGAAGCAUAAACGUAAAAAGAGUUGACCGCUUAUAUUGGACUCGGACUUUACCCGAAAUACGUGAUUUUUCAACCAUUGCCGUAUUUGACCAUUCCGAUCACAUCCUAUUUCACGUGAUUUUUGAAAAUUUUGCUUGCACUGUAGAGUUGGUUUAUAAAGUUGUACACUUGUAUAUAACCUACCAAACAAGUUAUACCACAUUAGUAGGCACGUUGUAAUUCCGAUGACUAAAAAUUACAAAAUGAAAAUUCCACCGUCUGAUAUGAUCAUUAUAGUAAAACAUGUCUAUGAUAUAAAAUUCAACUCGAUUCGCAAUGUUCAGGGCUCGAUCGAAGCGGUCAAUAUCUUAUGACACUACUAGCAGCCUGAUCUUUAUUAGCAUUUUUCAUGGCCACGUUUUUCAUGGCCGAGCUCAUCUCACCCCUGUACUGUUCGUAAAGUUUCCUCCAGUUGUUCAAGCAGUGUUUGGGGACUUGAUUAAUGUCAAAAAUAGGAAGUUUCUUGAUUUCUGAACAAGGAUACAGAGGAAAAUCAGUAUGUUAAAAGUUGAAAUAAAUCAUUUUUUAUCUAAAGUUAUAAUUUGAUGGAAAUUUCAUAACUUUGAAAUACUAAAAGGAUUUGACAUGGGAACAUCACAGAAAGCUAUCAUAACCUUUGACAGAAAUUGGUUCAUGAUCAACAUUAAACAUUAUCUACCAUCAAAUUUUAAAAGAUUUUGGUUGAUUUAUAACAAUCCAUAGAUUCUGCUAAUUCUAUGGAUUGUUUUAAUUCCAUAUGGAGUUUAACAAAUUUUAAUAGAUUGAUUUAUUAGUAUUCUUUUAGACUUUUAUAAGUCCACAGAUUGUUGUAACGGCAAUAAAUAAAAAAAAGUUUCUUAAAACACAAACAAUACAGUAAAAACGAUGAUGACUUGAAACAUAAUGCUCUGAUACAAUAGUAUAUAGGUUACUAGUAUCACAUCAUACAGAGAACUGUAUCAAAUCCAAUCUCUCUGUUUGUGAUCAACUCCCCUAUAAUUGAAUAUUCAAGGAACAAUUUUCCCAACAUAAGCACUCAGAAAAAUAGAUUUUCAUCACCAUCUAAAAGCUAUCUAGCAUUAUUAACCAGAUGCAGACCCAUAAUUCUUCCCACACACAAUUAGCUGCAACUCGUCACAACCAGAAAUUAAAGAAUACCAACACCAGCAAUGGCAUGGAGGACGUUUGCAUCAACACCCUUGAACAAGGACUUAGCACCCACAUUCUUCAAGAUCUGAGUGAAGGCUUCAAAACUCUUGUACUCGACAGCUUCACCAGAGGUCAUUAUCUACGAACAGUGUCAAUUGGGUAGGAAGAUAGACCAGCACCAUUUCUGAUGACCUAGGAGAAGUACUACAAGUCAAAAACAAAAGGAUGAUUAUCAAAAACAAAAUGAUGUCAGCUGGAAUACCUACAAGCCAUAAGAAUCUAGUCGUGGACAAAUAAAGUAAAUAUAAAUACAGCUUCCGCCAACACACUGAAGUUGCAUAUCCUUGGAAUCAAACCACCAAUAUAGGAUAAAUAGAAUUUGCAAGCACAUAAAAGUACAAAGAAUACCAAUCAAAUUACUACAGGCCUUAUGAUAUAAGUGUCACUACAACGCUUAAUAAGAGUUCAAAAAUGAAUGAUCCACUGAUCCAUGAGUGACCACACUAACACUUGAGUAAUACAGGACCUCAAUACUUUCCUACUAAAAUAACCAUUUUAAACAGUAGUAUAAGGGUAUUCAGAAUUUCAGAUAUGAUACAUGAGUAGCAUAUAUUAAGAUCGCAAAUUGAAGAAAACAUAUAUAUCUCUCGUAGUUAGAAGAGAUGGGACAACAGUUGGAUAAUGACAUAACUAAUCUUUGGUUUUCAAAGUUUAUCUGCCCAUCCAUUCAAAACAAACGAAUCAUUAUUAGCCGCUAAACAAAUCACAGAGUCAUUCCUUUUACCCUCAAAGUUAUCAAUGUUGUUCUUGUAACUAGGCACGUGUUGCUACAAACAAUUCCCCUUAUACACACCCUGACCUACAGACAUAUAUACCAAUAUCCAACACUCAAACAAUUCCCCUUAUACACCCUGACCUACAGGUUUGUCUUUCUCAAGUUCAGACUAUCUUAGCAUACUGGAAAUCAUAUGCCAUCAUUCUGAGAGAAAUUUGUACAGCCUCCUCAAUCUCAAGCUAACUAGCUCUUAUAAUCAAUGCACUCAGUUAUGCGCCCUACGUACUUCUCUCUCUUUUUCCUCUACAAAACUUGAUGCUUUGGCCGUCAACCAUGAAACUGUUUCCAGGAAAGAUAAUGUACUGCAAUCAUCUACUUGUUCGUGCAAACCAUUGAGUUCAGACUUCAGAUACACCAUGUGUAAUGUGGAUUUUUGUGAUAGAGAUAUUUCCCUAAAUUAUUUAUUCUAUUAGUCAAAACCUUGUUAAAAACAUAAACUAGCAGCUUUUAAUGUCUUCCUGUAGACAUCAACCUUAGGUUUCAAAUUCUAGCUUGAUUCGAUUAGUUACACAAUCAACCUAAGCAAGUGUUCGACAUAAUGAUUCUGAAACAAAUGCGACGUACAAUACCAGCACGAACCCCAACAAGAAAUAUGAGAUUAAGAUUCAAAUACGAACAGAAAAGAGAAACAAAGAGCAUGAUUGAUACCUUUCGAGUGAAAUAUGGAUCAUUGGCGAGAACGAUGGUCUCGAAACUGAGUCGUUUGAAUCGUUCGCAGCGGUUGAUUCCUUCGUUUUCAACGGAGGCACCGCCGCCGCUGUAGAUCUUUGACUCGGAAGAACAUCACUCAGAGCCUCAUCGAGCUUUCGACUUGAAGAACAACCUACCGAGGAGAGAACCCAGUGAGCUCUCCUCAGACUCCAUCAAAAUCUCGUGGGAGAGGCCAGAUUUCUUAAUGGAAUUUGUAUUUAUACCUAGCCCUCUAAAAUCCAUCAAAAUCUAACAACUGAUGGAAUCCUUGAGAAUCUAUAGAGUUUUGAAUACCCUCGUAUUUUGAUGGAUAUUUUAAAAUCUGAAUCGAAUACAUCAAGAUUUAUAAGGAGUUUUUAAAAUUUGAUUGAAUACCCAUAGAUUUUCAGAAUCCAAAAAAAUCCAACAGACUCCCAAUUGAAUACACCCCCCUAUGUAGUUCAAGUCUCACCUUGGAACCUCUCACAGAAUUGUCUAUAAGCAUCAGAAGGAGCAGACAGGAUUUCAUCGGGAGAAGGGGAGGAACAAAGUGAUUGUCCAUUGCACAAUGUCGCCGGCAAUGGAUUGGAAGUCUCACCUGCACCACACAAACACACAAAACUCACUAAUUUGCUUAAAUUUCAUCAUAAAUUUCGGCUAAUCACUAAAAGCAUCAACUAGAUUAUAAGUCUAACCCUGAGACUGAAAACUUAAAUAAAAUGGUGCAUCAGUAACUACGACCUUUACCAUCAGACUUGCUUUGACAAGAAUAAGUGUGUGCCACUUUCACUGGAGAAUAAGGUGAUUGUGUAUUGUUGUUGUUUCUGGGUUGCUCUAGAACAGUAAAUGCCUCACCUGCACCAAAAGCUUUAUUAUAGUCAUAUAACAGCAUUGACCACCAACAAAAUGAAUCAACUUGAGAGAGUGAAAGUAGUGACAAACCUUGAAACCCAUCAUCAAGUUGGCCAGGACCAGACAGUCUUUGAGAAGAAGUGCGUGCAAGUUUCAUCGGAGAACCCGAUGAAUAAGGUGAUUGACCUCUAACAGGUGGCAGGUGAUUAAAUGCCUCACCUGCACCGAAAAUCUAGUCAUAUAACAGUGAUGACAACAAGUCCAGUAGUCCACAACCAAAUGAAUCAACUUGAGAAAGCAAAAUAUGACAAACCUUGUGACUUCUCAUGAACUUGUGCAUGAGUAGACAAUCUUUGAUAAGAACAACUCCCUGUUGCUUUCGAUGGAGAACCAUAGCAGUAAGGUAACCUGUCACUAACUGCCUCACCUGCACCAAAAUCCUUAACACUAUCACACACAAAACACUCAUAUGACCACAAUGCAAUGCAUCAAAAUAGAGAACGCAAGAAGCACAACAAACCUCGAGACCUCUCAUCAACUUGUACAUGAGCAAUAAAGCUUCCAUCACAGCUUCCGGGUUGCUCCACAACACCAUACACCUCACCUGCACCAAAACCCACAGAUCCAGUUUCCCUCACUAUAUCAAACCCACAGUAAAGAACACUGGAGACCAUCAUAUAUACCCCAACCCUGAACAUGAAGUGAUGAAAACUAUACCGAACCGGGAUCGAUCCAUGAACAUAAAUCAAUCAGAACUAACAAACCCUAAACAUUGGUAAGGCUGACGAGAUUAAUAAAUGGUAAACGGCGUGUUGUGUAAGCUUCGGCAAUGUAGACUGUAGAGUGGAGUUAAUUGAUUGAUAGGUUCAUAACUCUGAAGCAUGCAACGCCAUUUGUUUUUGGUCUUUUCCUAUCAAAAAUCCUACACUUCUAGUCCAAUUAUUCUUUAAUCCUGCACAUAAUCUGAUGCUAAUUUACCAAAACUAAAGAUCCUGAGCUCAAAUCAAGAACAAAAUCAACACUAGAACUCGACUCGACCCGAGAAUCGAAAUGGUACCUUGCUGAUUGGUCCCUGAAGGAGAGAGUGACGCUCUCCGAAGCUUCUCCGCUGGGCUUGUUCACCUAGAUCCACGAGACUUCAUCGGAAACCUCGGCAUCCGGAUCUGCGGCGCCGCCGAUCUUCGUGACCAGCCGGACCUUUCGCGAUGUGCUGGAGCGGCGUUUAGGGGUUUUGGUGAGGUCGGGGUUGCCGGAAGCCAUGUGAAAAAUUAGGUCUGGGAGAAAUUAGGGUUUCAAAUUCGAGAUCUGAAAGCUUCGAAAUUGAGAGAGAUGAGAGCAAAGGCCAGUUGGGAAUUGAAAUUGGGGGAAAUUGAAAUUUAGAGAGAACUAAAGCGGGGAGUGGGCGGAAGCAAAGAUGAAUAGGAUAGUCACCCACGCACGACGCGCCUCGCUAGGCGUGCUUACAAUUGACAGUUAAAACGAGUUAAUUACCUUUUCAUUUCCGUCAGAAAACAAACGCGGAGCACAGACGCUCCGGAGCAUUCCAGACGUCUCCUCUCCUUCUAUCUUCUCCUCCCUUCUUUCUUUGUCUGUAACUCAUCAAAGCUUCAUUGUUCAUUCUUCCUUCAUAAACGUUUUUAGCUGAAAAACGUAUCUGUGGUGAACUCGAAAACGAAUCUCUCUUAGCCGGUGUACAGAAAUAAAGAAGUCUUUCACACUACCAGAAAUGUGGGCAACAAACACCAUCAUAAUGAUGUGCAUUGAACCAAUGGAAACUAAUCAGUGGUGUGGAUUCAUGAUAGCCACGGCCCUAGCCACUAUUAUGAGAUUAGUUUGCAUUGCUGGCGUGGCUUUUCCUAACAAUACACUAUCAUCUUUUUGGUGACUACAUAUAUACUCACUAAUUCAAUCUUUGGUGACUUCAUUGAAUUAAUAAAUAAAAAAAUAUUCAGCUAUAAAACUCUAUGGGUCCUACAUAUUCAGCAAAAGCAUCUUCAAAACCAGCUUCUUUAAAUUCAAAACCGCGAUCUCUAUCUCGUCUCUAGUAUCUCCUGCAAAGCAACAACAUGGGCAAAGAUUACUUGGCUAUAAAUCACCCCUCAUAAUUUUAUUUCCUUCAUAUAACAGAUGAUAUGUAUCUUGUGGAAAUAAAAUCAAUGUAUCCAGUGGAAAUAAAAUUAACUUGAAGCUCAUAAACUAUCAACAUGUUCAUAACCCGUGACUUUGUAAAAAUAUAAACUUAAAGCUCAUAAACUAUCAACAUGUUCAUAACCCCUGACUUCAUACCUAUAUCAACUUGAUGAACAAGUUCAUAUAAAAGCUCCCUACAUGUUAUGUAUCACAUACCUUAGUUCUUAAUACAAGAUAAUCCUCUCCUCUCUCUUUUUCCAUCACUAAAAUGCAAGUAUAGUGUACAAAGUCCACAUCUUUUCCUGCAAGCAGAAAAACACACUUUGGGUAAGUUGGCCAGAAAACAUACAAUAAAUUUCUUUUGGGUAAGAACCUUAGAAGAAACAAUUAUCAUUCACAUUUAUUAUAGUAAAACCUGGUUCAAGUUCAUAAAUUAAGCAUCUAUCGGCAUAGUUGACACAUAGAAGGUAAAAUCUGAAGCUAGAAAUGAGGUUAUAGUGAACAAUAAUGUAUUAUGAAUUAAGUUCCCAAGGAAUGGUAGUAUCAUAUAUAGUAAUGGUAGUAUCAGCCCACUUUUAUGGAUGAUGCAUAUUCAAUUACUGAUUCACAUUUACAAAAGAAUAUAAGCGUACCUUAUUGAGUGAACGACAUUUUUUUGUCUCCUCAUUCAUACGGUCUUGCAGCUUUCUGUUUCAGAAUGAACACCCUACAAAAAAAACUGCAUAUGACCAGUCAGUUAAGAAUCUUAAGAAGUUCAAAUAGAUUGAUAUGAAUCAAGGACAAUUGUAUACAAAUUAAGAACUGAUAAGGAGGGAAGAUAAAUAUGUAGGUGAAGUUUACCUCCUUCAACACCAGGGCAUCUAACUAUUCUUUUGUCAUGGUAAGACUUGACUAUAGGAGGCGCUUCCUAUAACACAGACAACAUACUAGCCUCAAUACACAAUAAUGGAAGCCCUAAACAUUAUUUGUACAUGUUCUAAACCAUGUAAACAUGCUUCAACUUUACCAGUUGAAAUUGACACAUAAGAGGUGCACAAUACGCAUAUUUUUUUGUCUAUUCAUUCGAUAGAAAGCAAUUAACCAUGUAACCACAAAAUUCAUAUGGUAAGAUCGAGGAGUCUGACAACUAUUAUCUCUUUUUUCAUUCAUUCACUCGAAGAUCAAAAUAUAAAUAAAAAACACCUUCCCCUCGAUAGUUAUUAGAAAUCUGCAAUUAGGAAUCAAAAGACUCUUGUUUAAGGUCUAAAAGUAUGAAUGUAAAAGCCCACUUCUACGACAACAAAUGCCAAAGUCAUCUCAUAUAAUUUAUGAAUAAUGAAGCAAGAACAUGAAACAAAAAAAUUAAAUCUUCAGAGUACCUUAGUACCAAAAGGAUUAAUUGGAUUAUUAAUCUCAAGAAUUUCCUCCCCUAAAAAUUAAGUCUUCGGAGUACCUUAGUACCAAAAGCAGAUAUAAACUAACAAUAAUAUGAAGUUUGACUAUCAUAUUCAUCUCAUCACCCAAAAACAGUGAUGUAAGCUACUUAAUAUAACAGACCAUAAAAGCUGGAAGAAGCUAGUUAUGCAGUAAUUCUCUAUUUGGUGUAAAGAAUAUAAAACUCCAAAGAAACUGCAUUUGAUUGAAGAGUUCAUAAAAUUGAUUUCCCAUCAAGAAUAUACAGUCACAUUUAAGAUUGAUACAAAAGACAUAUCUACAAGUUAAAUGUGCAGACAUACUGACAAUUAAACAUUAGUGUCUACAUGAACUCCUUUUUUUCUUAUUGAUACAUGAACUCCUUUUAUACCACAUCAAACUAAUAAUAAUCAAGUUAUUAGUAGAGUCCUUACUUAAACCUCAUGAACAUUACAAAGUAUUGAAAGCGAAUAAACAUCUCAGAGAACAGAACUCACCAGGUAAACAACUUCUAUUAAAUAAUUCUCGACAUUGUCAUUUCUGAAACAACAGUAUCAAGAAUAAGCACCCAAAUUAACUAUUAUAUAGUCAGCAGUUAUAAAAUUUCAUCAAAAAAGAAUUUUCAUCAGUUAAAUUAUAUCACCUUCCACAGUUCCACCUUUCAUUAUCCUAAAGAUCAUGAAAAUGUCCAUUCCUUUUCUGUUCUUUUGACCAGUGUGAUAAGCUUCAUUCCAACCCUAAAAAAUUAACCCCAAAGUUCAAGUUUUGCGGUGGAGAAAGAAUGCAUGCAAGAGCCUCUAAAACCAAAAUAAAGAAUUAUGAUGCACAAGAAAAGAAAAGCACAACAUACCAAAGCAAUUAAAUAUAACAACUUCAUUACAAAUGUAAAAACGAAGCAGAUAGGGAGAUACACUGACUUGUUCCUCUUUCCAUUCAUCGGGUCGGAGCACCAGUUAAUCUUUCACAGCCCAUGGUGAUCUGCAAAAUUUUCAAUCGAUCAAUCUUCAUACUAUGCUGAAAGAUGAUAUCGGAAACCAAUCAAUGAAGCGAGAUUGGGAUUUAAGAUUUUCAUUACUUGCAGCGCCGACGAAGACACGGAGUUGGAUUAGAUCGGCGUAUGGCCGAAACAGACAGAGUAAUUUAGAGGCUUGUCGAGCUGCGGUAGCUGAGAGAGAGAGAGAGAGAGAGAGAGAGAGAGAGAGAGAGAGAGAGAGAGAGAGAGNNNNNNNNNNNNNNNNNNNNGGAGAGGAACUUCGUUAUGCACCAUAAGAAAAAAGAGAUAAACUCAUAAAAGUAUAAUUUUAUAACUUUAAACAAUAUUGGUGACGGUCAAACAGUUGUGGUUUUUGCUAAUAGUGACACCGUUAUAAGGAUUGGGGAGAAAUCCUAUGGGUUAUGUCACCAUUAGACUAAUAGUGCAUAGAAAAUAGUAUCUGAUGCCCACAUUUGUGGUAGUGUCAUCUGCAGUCAUAGUCUCAAGAAUGACAAAUCGUCAUCAUCUGAAGUAUUGAGGCAUGUCAGAGAUUUCCAAUCUUCCUUCAAAAGGUUAGAUUUUUCCUUCCAUGACCCAUGUAAUAUCAGGAUUUAAGUGGGUAUAACAUGACUGAGAAAUUUGAAAAUAGGAAUUUAUUGGUUAUGAUUUCUUCAUGAUUUUCUGCUAACAUAAAUUCUCAAUUUUUUUUUCAUAUAUUAUUUCUUAGGAAAUUGAAUUCUGGUGAAGUUAAUCAAUGUGUUUGCAUAUAGGCGUCAACAGAUCGAGCUUGGCUGAGUAGUUGCCUCCUCCACAUGUAUAUGUGUUGGCUUUAAACUCAGUCUUCUACUAUAUGUGAUGUUUUGUUUCGUUAAGUGUUUAUUUUGUGAUCUUGUUUCGUCAAGUGCUGAUGUUUCUUAAUAUCUUUUAUUAAACAGCGACAAGCGUGGCUCGUGGAUCACAUUGUACCGAUACUGUCCCAACUUAACCACCUUUAAGGUGUUGGGUUUUAAUCACAAAAGGCCUCGGUACAAUUGGAUAAGAUCCAUCCACAUAUAAGUUAUAUUUUAUUUGUCACUUUUCUGAUGUGGGAUUUAUUCCUCUCUAAUACUUCUAAUACGCCCCCUCACGUGCAACCUGACUUAAGGUCCGCACGUGGAAUGAAUCGGGACGGAACGAACCAAGGGACACUUAGUGACAAUCCAAUCGGAAUAUUCCGAUGGUGAGACAAGAAGCCGGAACCGGGCGAGAAAAUAGAAUCCCGGACCGGACGAGAGAAUGAACCCAAAUCGGGCCCAUGAGAAUUGGAGAAGUAAUUGGAGAGGGACCCGCUCUGAUACCAUGUUAAACAGCGACAAGCGUGGCCUAUGGAUCACAUUGUACCGAUACUGUCCCAACUUAACCACCUUUAAGGUGUUGGGUUUUAAUCACAAAAGGCCUCGGUACAAUUGGAUAAGAUCCAUCCACAUAUAAGUUAUAUUUUAUUUGUCACUUUUCUGAUGUGGGAUCUAUUCUUCUCUAAUACUUCUAAUAUUUUUGUCUACUUUUCAGGUAUGUGUUCUUGCAAAAUUUAUUAGCCUUAGCUGAAGUUGUUGUUGAGCUUGACUUACAGAAUGAGGUUGGGGAAAUACAAAGAUUAGCCUUUUCGACUUUGCAAAGGAUGGAUCAGGCCAUCAGGGGACGAGCAUCAUUAGUUAGUUUCAACUUUCAACAAUAGUUUUUUAGAUUAGCUCCAUGUAAAUAGAUUAGCUCCAUUUCCCUCCUGGCCUCCUGGGAAAUUUUGAUUAGUUGUGCUUUGUUGUGGAUUUCCUGCAAAUCAGUUAAUGAAUAUAAUCAUUUAGAGAAACUCCGUAUUUCUAUGAAUAAUUGGACGUAUUUCUAUAAAUAAUCGGGUAUUUCUCUAAAUAAAUACAAACCAAUUUGAAUAAGAGCCGUCAGAUAUAUGGUGGGCCCAGAUAAUUCACAUUUAUAACAGCUGUUGAAUUUUACACAUUUUUUUUACAAUCCACACACCUCUAUCUCACUUUUUAUAAGAAAAUGUCUAAAAUGACUCUAUUUUAGACAACUAGAAAAAUUAAAACAUGGAUAGUUUAGACAUUUUCUUAUAAAAAGUAGGGUUUAGGUGUGUAAAUUUCACUCCCCUUAUAUUGACCCUUAAAAUGGUAAUAUAAAAUGGGUCCCAACUUUGAUAGCACCCACGAAUGUUUCGUAUACGUGAGAUUUUUAAGCUAUCGCCAUGGCAUUAGUCCGCAAAUCGUGACCAAGCCCAAUGCACACGAUUAUUCGUAGGUAAAAAGGCAACUCCCACGAAACAAAUUCCUAGCUAUACCCAGUUUUUUUUUUUUUUUUUUAGUGAUGGCUGAUUAAGUUGGAUAAGAGCUAGAUGUAUUGGUUCCACUUCCACCUCCAUGUAAACACAAAACUAUUGUAAUUUACCACACAAUAACUAAUUAGCAAAGACUAGUAGAAUACGUAUAUGUACUAAUGUACACCAAGGACUGACACCAAACUAACAAUUCAGGUGGCCCAUAUAUAACCGAGUUCGUUUUAUAAUUCGAGUUCUUACAUCUUUUUAAUAGAUUGAGCUGAUCAAGCAAAAAUUCGAAUCAAACAAAUGAAGUAAACGGAUCAAUGAACACAGGUUAUUCAAUAUGCAUGAUUGUGAUGUUACUGAAAUUAAUGGACAAUCAAUUUCAGUAUAAAGCUUAAGGUUAGCUGAGCAUGUCGUCUUAAUUAACUGCAGUACGUAUAGAUGAUCUGUUCUCAUUCAGUGUGCUGAUGUUCAUCUUCAGAAUGGAAAUCUGAAGUUGUGAAGAUGUAGUUUUUGAGAGCCCCGAGAAUGAUCCAUGCACAAUAGCACGAAAGACGAAAACUGAAGUGGAAGUAGAAUUUUUCUGUAAACUUUGUACCUACAAAAUUAAGUUUAAUAAUUUUCAGAUUCUUAUGCAGAGGUUUGGGUACGCAUGAAUCAAGAGAUCAGUGAAAGCAUAUUCUCAUCAUAAUUAACAUCAUACUUUCUGCAAUUUGUUCUCAAAUUGGAUUACCUAUAUAUAAAUUCUAGGCCAUAUAGAAAAUUAGAAAUAUAAGGUUGUUCAGCUUCCAUUCCGUGGAUGGAAAAUUCUAGUAUACCAUAUGGUAUAACAUACCUCACAAAAUAUGUGGCUAUCAUUGAUUGAAAAAACAACUAAAUGACCAUGUAAUGACUAUUUACCCCUUCAAAAGCCCACAUAGGCAUGUCAUACCAUAUGGUAUGAUAAACAAACCCUCCGUGGAUAUAUUUGUUAAAGAUCCUUGAAUCAUUUCCCCCAAAAAAGAAAAAGAAAAAAAAAGGAGAUCCUUGAAUCAGAGGUUAUAUAGGCUUUGAUGAAUGUCGUAUAUUGCUCGUCAUUUUCUUGAUGCAUCUAAUUAAGUACGUAGUUGGAGAAAACAAGAUGCCAGUGAAUCUAAUACCAAGAUUUCUUGCAGGGCUGCUUAAUAUCAAGUUAUCAACUAUUGUGAGUUACUAAAAUGAUUGAGUUCGUAUGUGGGUGAAGAUUUCACAUGGAAAUUUUGAUACAGAGAUAUGUAAUUAUGCAAACAGAUCCGUUCAUAUAUUCCUUUCCAUCGACAAACAAGUUACAUCAACACAGGCACACUUGAAAGAAAUCCCAUUUACAACAGUUGCGCACACAUGAUUAAAUCGAUCACUUCACUCCAAAACUUUCAAACCUCACUUUCCGGGAACAAAGUUUGUGGCAUAUGACCAAGCGUUGUUGUUAACAGGGUCAGCCAAGUGAUCAGCUAGGUUCUCAAUCGGUCCCUUUCCGGUAACAAUAGCUUGCACGAAGAAUCCGAACAUGGAAAACAUAGCCAGUCUUCCGUUCUUGAGCUCCUUCACCUUAAGCUCAGCAAAAGCCUCAGGAUCGUCUGCAAGCCCUAAAGGGUCAAAGCUCCCACCGGGGUACAACGGGUCUACUACCUCACCGAGAGGACCUCCUGCAAUUCUGUAGCCUUCAACAGCACCCAUCAAGAUCACUUGUGUUGCCCAGAUUGCCAAAAUGCUUUGAGCGUGGACCAAGCUAGGGUUUCCCAAGUAGUCUAGUCCACCCUCACUGAAGAUUUGAGCUCCAGCCUUGAACCAAACAGCUUCGCCGAACUUGACUCCAUUACGAGCCAAGAGUUCAGGGAAAACACAGCCAAGGGCACCUAGCAUGGCCCAUCUGGAAUGGAUGACUUCGAGCUCACGGUUCUUGGCAAAGGUCUCAGGAUCAGCUGAGAGCCCAGCUGUGUCCCAGCCGUAGUCACCGGGAAACUCUCCGGUGAGGUAAGACGGGGCUUCGCCGGAGAAUGGUCCCAAGUACUUGACACGGUCAGGACCGUACCACGGGCUGACGGAUGACACAUUCUUUGACUUGGCUGCGGUUUUGCGCAUGGUAACUCGGCCCUCACCGAGGAGGUUAGAUGUGGAGGAACCAAGCUUCACAGCUUGGCCAGCUAGAGAAGGGGAGGAGAGAGCCAUUGUUGAAGAAGCCAUUUGAGGAAAGUGUUGAGAGUUCUCAGCUUAGACAAUGUGGGGUGGUGAGGGCCGAGGGUUUGUGUUUUGAGUAGAGCCGUUGGUGGCUAUUUGUAUAGGGUUUUGUGUGGGGGUUCUUUAUCUUUUUGAUAUCUUCAUCUCUAUUCUUAUUGGGUGAUAGUGAAGUUUGAAGAUUUUUCCCUUCAACGGAUCUCUGCAUUUCCAGUUGGCCUCGUAUGCUCCACUACUAAGUUCAGUUAGUUCCAAAAAUAGAAAGACAUGCAGAGACAAAAAUGGAAAUCUGUUGUGGAUGUACUCUAUCGAAAAUAAAAUCUGUUGUGGAUACUCUGUGCUUUGAUUUCCAGCUAAUAGACGGUGACCACGUCAGCUUUGGAUCAGGGUAAUGGCUGAUUAAGAUUCUUGGAUAAGAGCUAGAUGUAUUAGUUCCACCUCCAUGUAAUGUACGUAUAUGUACACAAAGAAGUUAAUUAACUAGCAAAGAAUAGUAGAAUACGUAUAUGUACAUAAAGGACUAAUACCAAACUAACAUGCAACUCAGGUGAUCCCAUAUUAAUUAUAACGAGUUCGUUUUAUAAUUCGAGUCGUUACAUCUGUUUGAAAGACUAAGUUUAUCAUGUAAUAAUUUGAAUCAAACAAAUGAAGUAAACGGAUCAAUGAACACUGGUUAUUAAUGCAUGAUUGUGAUGUAUAUAUGUUACUGAAAUGGACAAGCAGUGUUUCUGUAUAAGCUUAAGUUUUCGCCAGAUCAAUUGAAGGAGGCCGAGCAUGUCGCCUAAAUUAACUGCAGUACAUAGACGAUCUGUUCCCAUUCAGUGUGAUGAUGUUCAUCUUCAGAAUGGAAAUCUGAAGUUGUGAAGCAAAAUGUAGUUUAUGAGAGCCCCAAGAAUGAUCCAAUGCACGAUGGCCUCCUGAAAGUCGAAAACUGAAGUAGAAGUAGAAAUUUUCUGUUAACUUUAUACCUACAAGUUUAAUAAUUUCAUGGACGCAUGAAUCAAGAGAUCAGUGAAAGAACAUUGUCAUCAUACUUUCUGCAAGCUAUCCUCAAAUUGGAUUACCUAUACAUGAAUUCAAGGCAUCAGCCAAAAGCCCAAAAGUAGUAUUGCAUAUAGGUUGUCCAGCUUCCAUGUUUGUCAUAAGGAUCCUCAAAUCAGCAUUAGUGGCUUUGAUUGAAUUUCAUAUAUCGCUUGUCAAUUUGUUGAUGCAUCUAAUUAAGUCGGAGAAAUUAUACAAGAUGUGUCAGAUAUUUCCAUGAUUUCUGGCAAUGCUGCUUAGAGCUGAUUCAUUAACUUGUGAGUUAAUAAAAGAUGAUUGAGCUUGUAUAGUUGUAUAUAUGGGUGAAGAUUUUACAUAAAAUUUUUAGUACAGAGCAAUUUAAGCAAACAGAUCUGUUGAUAUAUUCCUUUCCAUCGACAAACAAGUUACAUCAACAGAAACACACUUGAAAGAAAUCCCAUUUACAACAGUUGCAAACACAGAUGAUUCGAUCGAUCACUUCUCUCCCAAGCUUUCAAACCUCACUUUCCGGGAACAAAGUUGGUGGCAUAGGACCAAGCGUUGUUGUUAACAGGGUCAGCCAAGUGGUCAGCUAGGUUCUCAAUCGGUCCCUUUCCGGUAACAAUAGCUUGUACGAAGAAUCCGAACAUGGAAAACAUGGCCAGUCUUCCGUUCUUGAGCUCCUUCACCUUAAGCUCAGCAAAAGCCUCAGGAUCGUCUGCAAGCCCCAAGGGGUCAAAGCUCCCACCGGGGUACAACGGGUCUACUACCUCACCGAGAGGCCCUCCGGCAAUUCUGUAGCCUUCAACUGCACCCAUCAAGAUCACUUGUGUUGCCCAGAUUGCCAAAAUGCUCUGAGCAUGAACUAAGCUUGGGUUUCCCAAGUAGUCUAGUCCACCCUCACUGAAGAUCUGAGCUCCUGCCUUGAACCAAACAGCUUCUCCGAACUUGACUCCAUUACGAGCUAGGAGUUCAGGGAAGACACAUCCUAGAGCACCGAGCAUGGCCCAUCUUGAAUGGAUGACCUCGAGCUCACGGUUCUUAGCAAAGGUCUCGGGAUCAGCUGAGAGCCCAGCUGUGUCCCAGCCAUAGUCACCGGGAAACUCUCCGGUGAGGUAAGAUGGAGCCUCCCCGGAGAAUGGCCCCAAGUACUUGACACGGUCUGGGCCAUACCAAGGGCUGCCAGACGACACAGCCUUGGACUUGGCUCCAGUUUUGCGCAUGGUGAUUCUGCCCUCACCGAAGAUGUUAGAUGCAGCUGGGCUAAGCUGCACAGCUUGGCCAG